UCAUAAUAUUAUAUUGAACCGGGGGGGGGGGAAAUCAAAGACGAUGUGAUUGAAACAUCGAAACAAAUUUUUCUUUUACAAUCUAAACAUAUUUCCCAGGUAGAUAGUGGGAAAAAAAAAAAUACAAAUUUUAGUUUAUUACAAUAAUGCAUUUAUUCUGACUUGAACGUGCAAUGCGUUGCAUUUCAGCGUGCAGGGUCACACUUUAUGAGUCCACCGGAUUAUCGUCCACGACGGCGUUUCUUCGGCACGCCAAUCCAGAUCGACACGAUUACAUUUUUUUUUUUUUUUUUUUUUUUUUUUUUGUCAGUACUUUUUCCCCGGUGGGCCCGUGGCGUUUGCCCACCUUGUUUACCCGGCAUUUACGCCACCGCCUAGUGGGUACGCACACCGUCGUCACCGUUAUUACUAUUAUUUUUUUUUUUUUCACUGAGCUGGUCGGUUUCAAAAUAUUUCGACACGCGCGCGUGUGUAAUAACUAAAGGAAAACGGUUCGUUUAUUUUCCAAACGUAACGCACGCGCCGUUCGUUAUAAUUGCUGCAGUUUUUCAAAUCAAACGAUCCGUUACUCCGUC